GCCUACGGGGGGCAGCAGUGGGGAAUCUUGCGCAAUGGGCGAAAGCCUGACGCAGCAACGCCGCGUGAGCGAAGACGGCCUUCGGGUUGUAAAGCUCUGUCAGGAGGGACGAAGCCACUCAGGUGAAUAGCCGAGAGGGUGACGGUACCUCCAGAGGAAGCCCCGGCUAACUACGUGCCAGCAGCCGCGGUAAUACGUAGGGGGCAAGCGUUGUCCGGAAUCAUUGGGCGUAAAGCGCGUGUAGGCGGCCAUCCAAGUCCGAUGUGAAAGCUCGGGGCUCAACCCCGAGUCUGCAUUGGAAACUGGAUGGCUUGAGUCCGGAAGAGGAGACUGGAAUUCCUGGUGUAGCGGUGAAAUGCGCAGAUAUCAGGAAGAACACCGGUGGCGAAGGCGGGUCUCUGGGACGGUACUGACGCUGAGACGCGAAAGCGUGGGGAGCAAACAGGAUUAGAUACCCCUGUAGUCCA
rnacentral:rRNA from 1 species